GCGCCCGUAGCUCAGUUGGACAGAGCGACGGAUUCCGGAUCCGUAGGCCGGGGGUUCAAGUCCUCCCGGGCGUACCA
rnacentral:tRNA from 1 species